AUAAUGUUAACAUAUUUUUCAACUAUUGUAGAGUAUACGUUACUAUAGAUUUUACCGAGUGGUAUAUGGAAUUUUUUAAGUGCUGGUACCACUUUAAGUGUUUACCGAAAACAGUAUACAUAUGUACAAGUAUAGCAUGCCAAAUCUGAAAGCUUUUAUGUGCGGUGUCUCUUUGGAACUCGCAAUAAUUCUAAAUGAUCACACCAAACAACACUACGCAAUA